CUGAGAACCAUAAAGCACCCAGGUUCAAAUCCCUUGUUGGGCACUUAUGGGACGACCUCAUCUGGCAGUCUGGAUUUCAUGACAAGAACCGUGACAUCCUGGUGCUCGUAUUGACGCUUCCGCGUCUGAUUAGUGUGGUCGUAAUGAUACUGUAUCUGCGCCCAAGUCAGCGCGGCUGCGCUGAGUCAUGUUUUAACCAAUUACUACACAGAAAGUCAUAUUUAAACCCUGACUAGCCUUUUCUCAGUGCCCUGUCAUGGUUUCCACUUGUUUGUUGUCUGAGAGUGCGUUCCUGUUCGUUGAUAUUUGGCUUUGACUUGCAUUCGACUUUCGCUACUUCAGGUAUCUUGUCUUUUGGCUAGUAUUACAUUUGGUAUCUACUUUUGUAUCCCUGACUUCGGCUUGUUUAUUGACUAUUCUCUUAUGUUAAGUUCGGCCAUUCUAAGGCCCGGUAUACGUUACUUGAUUUUUCAUAGUUCUGCGUUUUGGGUCAUAUAGUAGUCAUGACACUGCCAUCCUCCCAUAGAGCAUUUUGCUGCCAUCUCAUCCUGAGGUAAAUGAUGCUAAUGCAUCCGUCACUUGAUCUAAAAAAAAAAAGAGGGAUUUAUUGGACCAGACAACCUUGCUCCAUGGUCCAUUUCUGAUGCUCACAUGCUCACUAAAGGCAAAUUCAGCAAUUGAAGGGGCUCACUCUGCCUGCCUGUGGCUGCACAGCCCCAUAUGCAGCUAACACAUUUCUGUCAUGGCCAGCAUUAACUUUUCUAGCAAUUUGAGCUACAGUAGCUCUUCUGUGUAAUCUGACCAAACAGAGUUUGCUUCACACGUGCAUCAGUGAGCCUUGAGCUCCCGUAAUCCUGACACCGGUUCACCGGUUGUCCUCCCUUGCAUCAUUCUAACAGAGUCGUCAAGUCAUCACUAUUUGGCCCUUGUUAAAGUCGCUCAGAGAGAACUCUAUUAGAAGUGUCUAGAAAACUUAACAAAACAGUAGUAGUGUAGCGUAGAAUAAAAUAGUGUAGAGAUAAUUUUUAGGUAAACAACGUUACAACUAUAAAUGGAAGGAGUGCCAGACAGACACAUCUUCUCGGUAGAUUGCAAACUAUUUACAAUCCGUUAUGAAUUGAUGUCUGCAUAAACAUGUACCCAAAGAUCUAAAAUGAGAGAAUAUGGGAACCUUGCUGCCAGCUGGGUUACAUAGUUACAUAGCUGAAAAGAAACUUGCGUCCAUCAAAUUCAGCCUACCUCACAUUUGUUUUUUGCUGUUGAUCCAAAA